rnacentral:tRNA from 1 species
GAAGGUAUAGCUCAAGUGGUAGAGCACAUGCUCAGCAUACAUAAGGUCCUGGGUUCAAUCUCCAGUACCUCCU